rfam:Brachypodium distachyon strain Bd21 chromosome 2, whole genome shotgun sequence.
UUCGUACUCCCUCCAUCCAACAAAGGAUGUCUCAACUUUGACUAAAUUUGAAUGUAUUUAUACACUGAGUCAUGUCUAGAUACAUCCAAAUUUUGACAAACUUGAGACAUUUUUUGUUGGACGGAGGGAGUAUAAA